rnacentral:rRNA from 1 species
AGCUCCAAUAGCGUAUAUUAAAGUUGCUGCGUUUAAAAAGCUCGUAGUUGGAUCUCAGUCUCGAUCGAGCGGUCCGUCUUUCGACGGCACUGCGCGAAUCGGACAUUCCGCCGCAUCCCGCCUCAUGCUCUUCAUUGAGUGUGGGGUGAGAGUGGUACGUUUACUUUGAAAAAAUUAGAGUGCUUAAAGCAGGCCACUGCCUGAAUAGUCGUGCAUGGAAUGAUGGAAUAGGGCCUCGGUUCUAUUUUGUUGGUUUCCGGAACUCGAGGUAAUGAUUAAUAGGGACGGACGGGGGCAUUUGUAUUGCGACGUUAGAGGUGAAAUUCUUAGAUCGUCGCAAGACAAACUACUGCGAAAGCAUUUGCCAAGAAUGUUUUCAU